ensembl:lncRNA
GCUGAUUUCUAUCAGCUGGAAAUCACAAAGAACUUACAAUGGGGCCCAAACCAAACCCUUGGAUCUAAACCCAAGGUCCAGGUUCAGAACUGAGUUCACAGCUUUAACCUUGUUCCUGAAGACAUGGCAUCAGGCCCAUGAGCCCCAGCACACAUCGCGUUUGCAUUUCAAAGCCCAGGUCCAGGAAUUACUGCUGCCUGGUGGAGCGGUACAAAUGGUGCUGGCCCUAAGACUCUGGGAUGCCUCCAGCCUGAAGACCCAGAUCCUCUAAGAUGACUUAUCGUGGCUCUCUGAGAUACAGCCUUCAAGACACCAUACAGAUUCAGGAUGAUGGCACCUUUCAUAAGGACUGCAAUAAUCCUUCUGUUCCUGAUGAUGCAUGAACUACAGUCCCAAUGACAGUCACAUUAUAG